rfam:Callipepla squamata strain Texas jcf7180005232389, whole genome shotgun sequence.
ACUGGCUGAUGGCAGCCAAGCGUUAAGAGCGAUGUCGCAUUUGGAUCCUUCAAUAUCAGCCCUUCCUAUCACCGUGAAGAAGAAUUCACCAAGAGUUGGAUUAUUCACACACAAAUAGGGAACGAGGGCUGCGACUGGACCAUCACGAUACAGGUU